rnacentral:misc_RNA from 1 species
GAAACAUUCUUGCUUCUAUCCAGGCUUUUGAAUUAGAUAUUGUUUUUUCAAAGAGGAACGUGAAAUAAAUUGCUAACAUAAAGAACUUUUCUACAAAGAUGUCAGAAGAAAACUUAAGAAGCACAAAAUCGGGAGAAAGCUCUGUGGAACACUCUGCUAAAAAACCUCUUAAAGGCAUUCUAAAAGUUAUAAAAAUAAUUUGAUAUUACUUUCAUAUAAUCAUCGUAUAAUUUUUUUCAAAUAUUUGUUACAGAAGCCUAGUCAAAAAUUUAAAGAACAUGAUAAGGUAAUAAUCGAUUCAUAGACAUACUAGAUUAUUGACGUUUCUUCUGCCAAACCAGAAUUUGAAUGGUGUUCAUCAACAAGAAUAUAUGAACGUAGCUAGAAAAUCAACAAGAAACGGGCCGCCUAAAAGAGUUCACUCCACACGCCUAAAAAGUCCUCCGCCGCCGCCACCCUCUACUUAUGAUGAAGACGUAAUCGAUAAAAGAAAAAGGAAAAUGUCAACUAAAAAGCGUCCUUCGCCAUCUUCGAAUGCUUCUGUAUUAUUGAAAAAAAAACCAAGGACCCCGUUAAGAAUAAAGUUAAAAACAACUAAGAAGGUUCCACGUGUAACUAACAAAAAAGUGACAAAAGUGUCGAAAACAGAGACAAAAAAACAAAAUAAAUCUCCAAAAGAUGCAUCAAACAAGACAACGAAAAAACCUUAUAAAUCAUCUAGGUAUAAAGGAAGCAUGGCCAAAAAAUUAGAAAUUUCACAACGUGCAGAUUGGCUACCAGCUGAAACUCCGGAAGGAUGGAGACGUGAAGUUGUUCCAAGAUCGUUAGGAUCCUAUAUCAUAACUAAAAGAAUUGCUGAUGUUUAUUAUUUCUAUCAAAAAAAUGAUAAGGAAAUAAAAUUUCGAUCUAAACAAGACAUAAAAAAGUUUAUUUUGAAAAAUAACAUUAAUUUGGAUGAAAACUUAUUCUACUUUUCUGUGGGCAACUUUGUAGCAUAUGAUUUACCAACUGAACCUGAAAGAUUAAGAAUGAAGAAAGAGAUUUUGACAAGUUAACAGAACAAUACUAAUGGUAAUGAUUUGACUUCAGACUGUUAUUUUUUCUUGUUUAAAUAAAACUCUAAACGUCGAUUAAAAAUGAUUGACUAUACUUUAUUGCAAAAUCCUUAAUCUUAAUUUAUUUGUGACGUUCUGAAUGGUGCUAAAAUUAAAAACUAAUUGUAGCAAGAUUUAAUAAUCAAUAACAUGUGUCGCAGAGUACCAUUUCGU